GAAAUAUUUUUUUAUUUAGUGGUGCAACUACAACUUGUAGAUACACAACAACAAUCACAAUCUGGUAAGAAGUCUGAACCGCAACAACAACCACAAUCAGUGAACUUUCAACAAAUGUUUUUGCAAUCUAUGCAAGAAAUGUAUUAUACAGUAUGGUUAUACACAUACCCCAGCUAGCACACUUACAUUGGGCCAACGUAUGUAAAACCAUCGCGAACUUUGGCUCUUUUUUCCAAUGCAAAACCAACGUUGAUUUAAUGUCAUUUGGUUAAUGAUAAAAUUUAUACUGACGGA